AUUGAACGCUGGCGGCAUGCCUAACACAUGCAAGUCGAGCGAGCGGCGGACGGGUGAGUAAUGUCUGGGAAACUGCCUGAUGGAGGGGGAUAACUACUGGAAACGGUAGCUAAUCCCGCAUACCAUCAGAUGUGCCCAGAUGGGAUUAGCUAGUGGGGGGGGUAAAGGCUCACCUAGGCGACGAUCCCUAGCUGGUCUGAGAGGCUGACCAGCCAAACUGGAACUGAGACACGGUCCAGACUCCUACGGGAGGCAGCAGUGGGGAAUAUUGCACAAUGGGCGCAAGCCUGAUGCAGCAAUGCCGCGUAUGUGAAGAAGGCCUUCGGGUUGUAAAGCACUUUCAGCGAGGAGGCGUUACUCGCAGAGAAAGCACCGGCUAACUCCGUGCCAGCAGCCGCGGUAAUUC
rnacentral:rRNA from 1 species